UUCCCCAUCCUGUCACCUCCAUUCCCAUCCCUGUCCCCCUGUCCCCCACAAGACUAUCAUGGAAGCAACCAUUUUAUGUAAUAUGACCCUGCUGCCUUCCUCACCACAUUUGAUUGGUCAAAAGCAGGUGCCUGGUCCAGGCUGGGCCAAUCACAACCCAUUCCUGAGAAAUGUGAGACUGUGACUGAGAAAGAGAGCCAGGCUUUCUGGGGAAGAAGCUGUAUGAUAUCAACCUACAGAGCCAGGUGGCCGGGCUGCGUGUAGUCCACCACGUGGACAACGCCAGUGAAGGGAGAGAAGGAUUAAUGGAGCCACGACAGAAAGAUGCAGAUAUGUGGUAUCUGGGCCUCUAUGCAUACUCCUUUUCCAAGACCUGCAGAGGUCGGGAGCGAGCCUGGUGGGAAGUCCAGGAGAGACCAUCUCUUGACUAUUUGGGCAGCAAUUUGGACAUGGCACAUCGAGGACAGCUUGUCUCUGUUCCACAAGAUCUGAUGCCUCACGGGGAAGACUUCAUGAUUAAUGGUGACUUGGUCACCAGGGGCUAGAAUCAUCUGAGUCAUCACUCACACUGAGGAUGUUGUGAUGGUAUCUGAUGGUUGAUACCGGCUGUCGGCUGGGACGUCAGCUGGGCCAUGGGCUUGCACAG
rnacentral:lncRNA from 1 species